UCUAAAUCAAUCCAUACCGAUUUAUAAAAUAUCCUCUAAAAAUAUCUUCUAAAUAUCUAAUCAUCAUCCUAAUCCCCUUCACGUUCUCACUCUCUUCUGCCGACCUCACCAUCCUUUUCUUCUUCUUAUUCCGCCACCUUCACGCUCAUUUCCUUUCUCUGGAAGCAGCAUCUUCUUCUUUUUCAUUUCUUCUUUCAUUUUCUUUGAUGCAACACCAUGCUCCAUGCACAUAAUCUAUAGCCUAUUUUUGAUUUAAAACACAGAUGUUAAUGUAACUUUAGAAGCAGGGGAGAUUCCAUAUCUACUACUACUUAAAGUUAAGCCCCAUGGCUACUAUUCAUAAGAAACCUCAAAUCCUGGCCAUUUAUUUCGAGAUUUAAUCUGACGGUUGUUUGCAAGCCUGACUUAUCACACAUCAAGGAUUAGGUUAUCCUUUCUUAUUUCUUCCACAGCUCAUAGCCGACAUCGACAUAUGAGGCGGAGGAGUAGUAGUUGUCAGUAAAUCAUGUAUUUCUUUGUAGAUUAUCGUCACCCUAUAUAGAGGUAGGAUUGAAUGUCAUGGAGAAUAGGCAUGGAGGGUGGAGAAAGCAAGGGGAAGGAGAAUUUUGAUGAUGGAAGGUACUAAAAUUUGUCACCGUCGAUAGGUUUUUUUCAGGUUCAGAGGGACUAGAGUUGAUGGUAGAAGGAAAAGGACUAAUUUUUCCUUGUGAAUUGUUUGGUGAGCCAGGUCAGAAGAUGGGAUUGAUCAUGAACUUUGUAUUAUAGUUCCCGAUUUUGUGAGGAAGAGUGUAAAAGAUGGAAGAUGUUGAUUGAGAAAGAGUGUUGUCAGGUGAGAAUCAGAGAUGGUGAUGCAAUCUUUGUUUAUUGAUUUCUUUGAUGUCAUUGUUUCAUCACGUUAGGUUAGUAGGGGAUUGCAAGUGUUCAAUUUUCCCCUCAUACCUCUAUAAAUACUCCUAAUCUGUGGUAUUUUCCCCUCAUACUUCUUCUCAAUUUUCACUUUGCUCAGUUGUCUUCUGCUUUGUAUUCGAUGAUGUCUUUUGUUGCUGGUGCUUUGAAUCCUAUUCGCAGUCUAUGUUCAAGUCGAGAAACAUGGAAGAUUAAGGUCCGUGUUCUUCGUGUGUGGGAGAUGUGAAUGUGGAUGUGGAUUAUCCUUUGGAGGUUGAAGAAAGAGUGAUUGGACAGAAAAUGUUAUUCAAGGUUUCCAGAAUUGUUGCUUUAACAUUUAAUGGACUUCCUUGCUAUCAAGUCCUUAGAAUUUGUUCUGAUUUGGAGGUUGUGGAAAAGUUUAUUUCUGACUUAGCAGGAACUAUAUCAUUGAAGAGCUUAGAUGAUGAUGCAAAGCUGUCUGAAAAUUUUGUUGAUGAUGGAGAAAGCAACCAUGAUUCUGGUGGUCCAAAGAAUGUGAAAAGGAAGUUAAUGGUUCUAUCUGAAGAUAAGUGAGUGAAGAUGUUCAGUUGAAGUUAAGGCAGAAGCAAACUCAAGUGAUGGAAAAGUUUGAAGAAGGUUCUGUUGUGAUUCCCAUUGCUAAAGAUAGCAUGUUAGAUGAAAUUCAGCGUCUAAAAGCUCUUAAAAUCUCUGAUGAUCUGUCUAUUGGUGAGGAAUCUAUGUUGUCUGAGAUUAAUCGCCUCAAAGCAUUUAAAACUUGUGAUGAACUGCCUGGUAUGGCUGUGUGUGAAGAGAAGACUGAAGGUUUGCCAACUGAUUAAAUUCAGUUUUGAAAGAAAGAUGAAGAUUUCGUGAAGUUCAGUUGUUGAUGUGCAUGUGUUUUAAGUGGAAACUGUUGGUGUUAGAGCUCAAUGGAGACAUCCUUAAAUUGUAUUUUGUUUGGGACUUACUAUUAUCUUUGUGGACUACCUAUUUGUAUAACAAAGGUGUCAGUGUGUUUAAUCCAGUUUUUAGAAUGUGUAAUGUGUGAUAUUUUGUAUUUCACUUCUAUUAUUGCCAGGAUUUUGCUACAAGUGAUUCAUAUCAGGCAGAUUGUAAUAUUUUGUGAACAAGGUUGUUUAGUUGUACUGUGUUGUUUCUGCACUAUUAUUAUAUAUAAGUGGUUGUUAUAUGAAUUUUUGAGUA